rnacentral:lncRNA from 1 species
UUUGUGACUGGCUCCUUUCACUUAGCAUAUUGUUUUCAAAGUCCAUCCAUGGCGUAGUUUACCUUGGCACUUCAUUGCUUUCGAUGAAUGAAUAACAUUCCAUUGUAUGGAUUAUACCACAUUUUGUUCAUUCACCAGCUGAUGGACGUUUGAGUUUCCACUUUUUUUGGCUCUUGUGAAUAAUGCCGCUGUAAACAUUUCUAUCCAAGUUUGUGUGUGGCUGUAGGUUUUCUGUUCUUUGGAGGAUAUAUCAGGCACUAUGGUGAUUCUGUGUUUAACUUUUUUUUUUUUUUUUUUUUUUUUUGUCUUGUCUUUUUGCUAUUUCUUUGGGCCGCUCCCGCGGCACAUGGAGGUUCCCAGGCUAGGGGUCUAAUCGGAGCUGUAGCCACCGGCCUACACCAGAGCCACAGCAACAGAGGAUCGGAGCCGCAACUGCAACCUACACCACAGCUCACGGCAACGCCAGAUCGUUAACCCACUGAGCAAGCACAGGGACCGAACCCGCAACCUCAUGGUUCCUAGUCGGAUUCGUUAACCACUGCGCCAUGACGGGAACUCCUCUAUAUCUUCAACAAUGCUUUUUGUGGUCUGUGUUUGAUUAUUGCCAUUCUCCUAGUAUCUUUUGAAUAUAUGUACUUAGGUUUCUAUUAUCAGAUUAUGGAGUAGGCUCUGGAAUAUGAUAGGAAUAGAGGUCUUGGUGGGGUAAAGGCAUCAGAGAAGAGUUAGAGUCGGGGUCAUUACACGUGGAACGGGACAGUUGACUUAGAAAGGUGAUGAAGUUGAUGACUUCCAUACUUUGCUCUUCCGAUGUGGACAGUUAAGACACGCAGCAUAUCUGCAGAAGGAUGGCCCAGACAAUUGACAACUCCUUUAGCUGCAAAUUUCCUUUUUGCUGUGGCUGCUUUAACUGACUCCUAUUGUCAAAAUAUUUUCAUCUAUGGAAGAGAUCCAGGGAACAUCAAAGUUAGUAAAAAGGGUUAAUCAGGCAAAGAAGUGAGAUUACUUCCAUCCAAAGAAUAACUAAAAAUUUUAAAGACCAUCUGUUGCUUUAGGGCAGACUCUAUGAAUAGGAAUAAAAUACCUAUUUCAGAACA